UAGGGAAUCUUCGGCAAUGGACGGAAGUCUGACCGAGCAACGCCGCGUGAGUGAAGAAGGUUUUCGGAUCGUAAAGCCCUGUUGUUAGAGAAGAACGUUGGUAGGAGUGGAAAAUCUACCAAGUGACGGUAACUAACCAGAAAGGGACGGCUAACUACGUGCCAGCAGCCGCGGUAAUACGUAGGUCCCGAGCGUUGUCCGGAUUUAUUGGGCGUAAAGCGAGCGCAGGCGGUUCUUUAAGUCUGAAGUUAAAGGCAGUGGCUUAACCAUUGUACGAUUUGGAAACUGGAGGACUUGAGUGCAGAAGGGGAGAGUGGAAUUCCAUGUGUAGCGGUGAAAUGCGUAGAUAUAUGGAGGAACACCGGUGGCGAAAGCGGCUCUCUGGUCUGUAACUGACGCUGAGGCUCGAAAGCGUGGGGGGCAAACAGG
rnacentral:rRNA from 1 species